AUUGAGCGCUGGCGGCAUGCCUUACACAUGCAAGUCGAACGGCAGCACGGGGGCAACCCUGGUGGCGAGUGGCGAACGGGUGAGUAAUGCAUCGGAACGUGCCCUGAAGUGGGGGAUAACGUAGCGAAAGUUACGCUAAUACCGCAUAUUCUGUGAGCAGGAAAGAGGGGGAUCGCAAGACCUCUUGCUUUGGGAGCGGCCGAUGUCGGAUUAGCUAGUUGGUGGGGUAAAGGCCUACCAAGGCGACGAUCCGUAGCGGGUCUGAGAGGAUGAUCCGCCACACUGGGACUGAGACACGGCCCAGACUCCUAUGGGAGGCAGCAGUGGGGAACUUUGGACAAUGGGCGCAAGCCUGAUCCAGCCAUGCCGCGUGAGUGAAGAAGGCCUUCGGGUUGUAAAGCUCUUUCGGUGGGGAAGAAAUCGCAUCUCCUAAUAUGGGGUGUGGAUGACGGUACCCGCAUAAGAAGCACCGGCUAACUACGUGCCAGCAGCCGCGGUAAAAC
rnacentral:rRNA from 1 species